GGGUUCGUAGCUCAGGUGGUUAGAGCGCACGCCUGAUAAGCGUGAGGUCGGAGGUUCAACUCCUCCCGGACCCACCA
rnacentral:tRNA from 1 species